CAAAUACUCCCUUCGUCCAGAAAUAUUUGUCAUCAAAAUGGAUAAAAGAGGAUGUAUCUAGACGUAUUUUACUUUUAGAUAUAUUUCUUUUUAUCCAUUUUGAUGAUAAGUAUUUUCAGACGAAGGAAGUAUGUG
rfam:Triticum aestivum genome assembly, contig: Triticum_aestivum_CS42_TGACv1_scaffold_513215_6BS